rnacentral:rRNA from 1 species
GACGGACGCUGGCGGCGUGCUUAACACAUGCAAGUCGAACGAUGAAGCGGGUGCUUGCACUCGUGGAUUAGUGGCGAACGGGCGAGUAACACGUGAGUAACCUGUCCUUUUCUUUGUGAUAACGGCUGGAAACGGCUGCUAAUACUGGAUAUUCAGGCUGCAUCGCAUGGUGUGGUUUGGAAAGGUUUUUUCUGGGAUUGGGUGGGCUCGCGGCCUAUCAGCUUGUUGGUGGGGUGAUGGCUUACCAAGGCUUUGACGGGUAGCCGGCCUGAGAGGGUGGUCGGUCGCACUGGGACUGAGAUACGGCCCAGACUCCUACGGGAGGCAGCAGUGGGGAAUAUUGCACAAUGGACGAAAGUUUGAUGCAGCGACGCCGCGUGGAGGGUGUAGGCCUUCGGGUUGUGAACUCCUUUGUCUCGCGAAAAAGGCACAGUUUUGGCUGUGUUGAUGGUAGUGGGGGAAGAAGCGCCGGCUAACUACGUG